rnacentral:rRNA from 1 species
AUUGAACGCUGGCGGCAGGCCUAACACAUGCAAGUCGAACGAGUGGCGGACGGGUGAGUAAUGCCUGGGCAACUGCCUGAUGGAGGGGGAUAACUACUGGAAACGGUAGCUAAUACCGCAUACCAUCUGAUGUGCCCAGAUGGGAUUAGCUAGUAGGUGGGGUAACGGCUCACCUAGGCGACGAUCCCUCGCUGGUCUGAGAGGAUGACCAGCCACACGGGAACUGAGACACGGUCCGGACUCCUAGGGGAGGCAGCAGUGGGGAAUAUUGCACAAUGGGAGCAAGCCGGAUGCAGCCAUGCCGCGGGUAUGAAGAAGGCCUUCGGUUUGUAAAGUACUGUCAGCGGGGAGGCGUUACCCGAAGAAGAAGCAACGGCUAACUCCGUGCCAGCAGCCGCGGUAAUAC